AGCGGUGUCGGGCCGUCUAUUGUUUUCGCACUUUGAAUUUUCAUGUUUUUCGUAAGCGCGCGUUUCGGUUUUCAUUCGUGAUUCAUCGCGUAUUCCGUUUUGUCGGGGGAAUACCAAAAAAGAUGUGCCGUCGUUUGAAAAGUCUCGCGAAACGGUGCAAAAAACGGAUCGACGCGUUCGAGAGGUUCGAACCCGGGACCGGACGGGUCGGCACGUUUCGCGAGCGCCGCUGCGCC